AGAAUCAACGCUGGCGGCGUGCCUAACACAUGCAAGUCGAACGAGAAAGUCCCGCAAGGGAUGAGUAAAGUGGCGUACGGGUGAGUAACACGUAGCUAACCUACCCUCGAGUGGGGAAUAACCUGGGGAAACUCGGGCUAAUACCCCAUAACAUCCGGGAUGCAUAAGUAAUCCGGAGCAAGGGCCCGCAAGGGUCGCUUGAGGAGGGGCUGCGGCCGAUUAGCUAGUUGGUGAGGUAUGGCCCACAAGGCAAUGAUCGGUA
rnacentral:rRNA from 1 species